UUACGGCCAUAUUACAUUGAAACACUAGUUCUCUUGCGAUCACCGAAGUUAAGCAACGUUGAGCCUGUUUAGUAGCUAGAUGGGAGACCACUUUGGAAUACCAGAUGUUGUAAG